rnacentral:rRNA from 1 species
CACACCGCCCGUCACACCAUGGGAGUCAGUUGCUCCAGAAACGGCUGCGCUAGCCCGCAAGGGGGGCAGGUCUUUAAGGAGUGACUGGUAACUGGGGUG